UACGGGGGGGGCAAGCGUUGUUCGGAAUUACUGGGCGUAAAGCGCACGUAGGCGGACCUACAAGUCGGGGGUGAAAUCCCGGGGCUCAACCCCGGAACUGCCUCCGAAACUGUGGGUCUGGAGGUCGAGAGAGGCGAGUGGAAUUCCGAGUGUAGAGGUGAAAUUCGUAGAUAUUCGGAGGAACACCAGUGGCGAAGGCGGCUCACUGGCUCGAACCUGACGCUGAGGUGCGAAAGCGUGGGGAGCAAACAGG
rnacentral:rRNA from 1 species